CCAGCCAGGAAGGAGGAGGCAGCCAGAGUGGUCACCACUGUUCUCUGCAGCAGAAGACCCCCUGCUGCCAGACAAAUUCUCUCAGGUUGAUCUUCCCAAGUAAUUUUGGUGUCAAGAUGUCUUCUGAAUGUUCCAGUGUAAGUCAAGACUGGCACAGCUAAGAUUUAAAAGCUGAUUCACACCACCAUUUUUGAUAAGGAAAAAUACACCAGAAAGCAACUUUCCCUUUCAAACUUCAUGUGGAAAAGCCCCG